rnacentral:lncRNA from 1 species
CCCCCAGCAUAAUAAAUGUACUCCCUUAUUUACGGCGGCCCAGACGCGACACCACAAAAACAGUUUUUGUAUUUUUAGAUUUUUUGAUUUUUUGAUUUUUAGAUUUUUAGAUUUUUAGAUUUUUAGAUUUUUAGAUUUUUAGAUUUUUUGAUUUUUAGAUUUUUAGAUUUUUUGAUUUUUUGAUUUUUAGAUUUUUUGAUUUUUUGAUUUUUUGAUUUUUUGAUUUUUUGAUUUUUUGAUUUUUAGCUUUUUUGAUUUUUUGAUUUUUUGAUUUUUUGAUUUUUUGAUUUUUUG